GCACCAGUGCAAGUGGAAAGAAAAAUCUAUGGGUAUCAACACCGUUUGGCUAUAUAUUUGCCACCAUCAGAUCGUCGGAACCGGCUCCGGCUUUUGGGUUCUACAUGAAUGUUUUCUCAAUUUUUUGAUUUAUUUUGAUAUCACUAAGUCUUUCCCUGUUUUGCGUUCAUAGUUUUUUUUUUUUUAGGGGGUGGGGGUUUGAUUUGGAAAACACCUUUUGAUCUGUUUGGCAGUGUUAAAACACCUUUUGAUAGCCUUCAGUAUAAAAGAAAACAAACCGCUUAAAUCAGUAAAUUGCAAUCAAAAGGAAAGAAAACAGAGAUCGUCGGAAUCAUAACCCAAUAGCUUAAAAGAGAAUUUUCUGAAAACAAAACCCUUUGGCCUAUUUUUCUCAAAAGUUUCACCGGCUUUGAAUCUUUCGGGGUACGUAUCAGAUCACUGGAAACACCAUAGAAGACCAAAUUCUACCUAGGCUUUGUCUCUCAGCGUUCUGAGGAAUGUAGAUUGCAAUUGGGGGAGGUGGUGGAGAUAUUGGAAAGAAAAUAAAUCAUGGUGGUGGUGAUGUCGAUGGCGAUGAAGUUGAUUACUUUGAUGACUUUGAUGAUAGCGAUGAAGGGGAUGGCGGAGGCCUAUUUAGGAGACAGAAAUUUCUUGAGGAGCUUUUUGGUCAUAAAUUCGUAGAUGCAGUCAUUUAUCCCUCGAGCACUUCCUAAAGGAAUGUCACAGGCAUUUAUUGGCUGGUGAAUAUGCUUCCCUUAAUUCGACAUCAUUGGCUGUCAAAGUUGUAGAGUUCCAUAUAAUACUAUGCUACAUUUACCAAAACAAAGAAUCUAACUCUAGAUAUACAAGUGUAAGUCCAUCAGCUCCAUUUUUUAGUAAAGCCACAUUGUCUCAGCAUAUAUAUAAGGAAAUUCCAAUUGAUGUAAUCAUGGGCCUCCUCUAAAUCUAGCUUACAUAAUACUCCUGGUAUGGCAAAUUUCAAGGGAAUCAGUUUGAGUUGUAGUCUAAUUACAUUGUAGGAAAAGAGUUAGGGGCCUUUUUAUAAAUAUGAGAGCUUGAAUUCAAACUAAUCCUAAUCCUUUUAUUAAGUAAAUUCUAACCCUGCAUGUAAGUUUGUAAUUAUUGUAAUAAAACUUGAACCAGUGAGUGCCAAAUGACUAAGAUGGACUCUCAACUAAAAUUCCUUUUUCAAUCCGAAUGGGCCUUUUAAUUGAUCCAAGUCCUUAGGCAUUAGUGGAGGUCUUCCAAAGAGGCCCUUUAUUUGAAGCAAUGCAACUAUUGUGUCACAAUCAUACUAAUCUUUUGUUUCAUAGUGCUUACUAAGAUUUCAUGAAAUUUCAUACAUGAUAUCAUAUUAUCAUGUAAUAUAUAAUAUAAGUUGCAUCCUACCCGUGAUUGCAUCAGGUGAUUUCCCUAUCUAUACUGCAUUAUAAGUAUAUUAAAAUGUACUUAUCCAAGGGAGGCAAGUUAACUCUUUAAAAUAUACUUAUCCAAGGGAGACAAGUUAACUCUUUUUAUGAGCACUCUUUCCAGUUUGCCUACUUAUUUUCUUUCUCUUCAUUCUAUUCCAAUGGAGGUGGUCGAUUGAGAAGCUACAGAGAGAUUUUCUUUGGAGUGGCAUUGAUAAGAUGUACUUUUAUACAUUGCUAAAAGUAUAAUCAAACUUAGCUAAUCAAAGUUGUUAGAUUGCUGAAUAAAUUGUCAAUCUUUGAUGUUUAUCAAUGCCACCUACAAGGUUUGUUACUUUCCUCUACCUUUUUAUGUUUAUUUUGUUAAUCUCUGCUCAUUCACUAGGGUUUUUCUCUCAUCAUCAAUGCAAAAUUUCAUAGUAAAUUUCUUCUCUUUGGUUAUAUUAGUCCUACCUUUUAUUGCUUUGUUCUUUUUAAUUUUUAAAUCAUUUCUUUGUUUCUUUUGUUAAAAUUUUAUAUAGUGCUAAGGUUAAGUACGUGACCAUAUCUACAUUACGGCUAAUUUCACGUCAUGUUUUCUUGGCUUACAGAGGGCUGAGACCUUGGGAAUUGUAGAAUUCCCAAUACUAGGCCGCAUCAGUAAACUUGCUAUUUCUUGGGAUUCUUUGAUUCGGUUUUGAUUAUGGAAUCUAUAGCAAUGUAUAGAUCUUUUGAAGUUGGAUAUGUGACUAUUAUGUACCUCUCUACAAGAUCUAAAUGAAGCUACAAGAAAGUUGAUUUGGAAGACAGUAUAUGACAAGGCUUUGCAUCUUCUAUGUUUAUAGAUAUGGUCUUUUUCAAAUUUCAAUUUCCUUUGAUUGAUAUGGAUUAAAAUUCAGAUUGAAAUUGGUUUAAAUAGAACAAAGCCUCAAAGUUGAGUUUUUAUUA